rnacentral:misc_RNA from 1 species
GAGAAAAUGAGAUUCUUUAUUUUCAUUAAUUUGGUAACUAUACAAUUGUUCUGUUUUUGUAUUUAUAUAGUUGCAAUACAAUCAGCUAUCCAAUUACACUAGGCCAACUCAGCUUAUUUAGUUACAACUGUAUAACUAGUCUUUGACUCUGACAACUAACUCUGCUUAGCUCAGGUUACCAGCUCCUCAAGUCACAACAUUACCCUGCCCUUCAAGAGUGUUCUUGUCCUCAAGAACAAACUUAUGAAAUUGCUGCUGCAUAAAAUCUUUAGCUUCCCAAGUAGCAUCUUGAGAAGAAAAAUGAUUCUCAUUGUACAAGAAUUUGCUCCACUUGAGUGACCAUCUCUUUGAAUUGUCCAAUGAUCCAGUGUUGCUAUUGGAGAAACCACAUAGGAAUCAUGCUUCCUGAAAUCUGGUAGAGAGUGUUGCACUAACCUUUUCAACACCAAGAAAGGCCCAAAACAUGAGUUGGCACAAAAUAGUACUAAACAAAACAAGAGUUGGAAUUCUGGCAAAGCUCCUUGCUUGAACCUUGGACAAUUUUCUUCAAAUGAACCACUGAUGCUGGACAAUGUAAACUUACAGGAAUAAAGCCAAAAUUCAAAUGAGAAAGUUCCUUUCAAGGGCAUUUUCACAAACAUAUUCUGUGCAACAAACUUUUUCAUUCUCUGUCUUCUCCGCAUCUCGAUCCAUUUUCCUUAAGAAUAGCAUUACCUUUUGAUUUCAUUAAACAAUCAUACCACUCAUAAUAUUGGAACUUUCUUACAAGAUCCACAGUUUUUGUAACUCCCCAUAUCUUCUUCACCAUGAAAAUUAAUAACUUGCACAAUUUCAAGCUUAGAAACCCUUUGAACAAAACUAAUCUUAUGAUGAAUAUCAGGAAAUUUAAAGAAUUCAAGGUCAAGAAACUGGAAAUUACUAUAUUCACUCAGAAAAUCCUUCAUCAAUUUUUGAUUUUUAUCCGUAGAUACAAUUUGCGGAAUGAUAUUGUUUGUGAGGCUUUGGUCUUCUUCACAACAUUGAAACGCUCAAGAGACUCUCAAUUUUUUUCUUCAAAAUUUUGUUCAUCAACAUCCUUAAUCCCAGAAUCAAUAUUAAUUGAUUCUUUAACUUGACAAAACUCUACACCAUCAUUCUCAAGAAUUUCAGUAGAUUGAAGAGCAACAAUUGUAUUAUUACCCUUACUUCCAGUAGUUCCAUCACUGGAUUCACCAACCUCUCUAACCCAAGACUAGGGAAAGGCAGAAUAUCUCUUUUCUCAUUCGCUUGAGAAUUAGACCCAACAACAAAUUGAGGAGCAGGAGCAGGAAAAACGGCUUCUGCACCUUUGGAGGGUUGAGAAACCUUAAACAACUCCAGCAGUUAGUCAAUCUUCUGAUUCAGCAGACUCGGCUCUUGUCACAACUCCACCUUAUCCUCUUGAUUCUUUCUUUGAUUCACUUGUAUCAGUUCCUCCAAUCUCGCUGAAUUCCCAUCCAUAGUAACAUGCAUUUCUCGAUUCAUCUCUUGGAACCUUAGCUCCCAGGCUUGCAUGCGAUCCUCUUAGGGUUAACCAUUGCCUUAUCCUCUGUAAUCGUCUGGUCCACAAACUCGAACUGCUUUGAUACCAAAUUGUCAGAUUCUUGGCGCAUGAACCCAACUCAGCUACCAUUCCUUAUCAACAAUUGAAUACAGAAGAGAGAAUAGAUGAAAAGGAAGAGAAUAGAAGAAGAAGGAGGAGGAAGAUAGAAGCAGAGAAAGAGAGAGAACAGAAAUUAGAGGGAGAAAAUGAGAUUCUUUAUUUUAUUAAUUUGGCAACUAAACAAUUGUUCUGUAUUCGUAUUUAUAC